rnacentral:rRNA from 1 species
UACGUAGGGUGCGAGCGUUAAUCGGAAUUACUGGGCGUAAAGUGUGCGCAGGCGGCCGCGCAAGUCGAGUGUGAAAGCCCCGGGCUUAACUUGGGAAUUGCGCUCGAAACUACGUGGCUGGAGUGUGGCAGAGGAAGGUGGAAUUCCAGGUGUAGCGGUGAAAUGCGUAGAGAUCUGGAAGGAACACCGAUGGCGAAGGCAGCCUUCUGGGCCAACAACUGACGCUCAUGCAUGAAAGCGUGGGGAGCAAACAGG